CAGCCGCCGCGGUAAUACGUAGGGGGCAAGCGUUAUCCGGAUUUACUGGGUGUAAAGGGAGCGUAGACGGAAUGGCAAGUCUGAAGUGAAAUGCCCGGGCUCAACCCGGGAACUGCUUUGGAAACUGUCGAUCUGGAGUGUUGGAGAGGUAAGUGGAAUUCCUGGUGUAGCGGUGAAAUGCGUUGAGAUCGGAAAGAACACCAACGGCGAAAGCACUCUGCUGGGCCGACACUGACACUGAGAGACGAAAGCUAGGGGAGCAAAUGGGAUUAGAUACCCCUGUAGUCCCUGUCUCUUAUAC
rnacentral:rRNA from 1 species